rnacentral:tmRNA from 1 species
GGGGCUGAAAUACGCUUUCGACGUGUGGACUUUAACAGAUCAUUUUGCAAGUCAGCUGGCAGACGUAUCUGCUAAAACUAAGUGCAAACAAUUUUGUUGCCAAGGUAAAAUCAGUUCCUGCAGUAUUUGCACAAGCAUUUGCUCAGCCUGCUUUUGCCCUUGCUGCCUAGUUUAGACUAGACAGCCAUCGCGAUGCACAGGCGACAUAGUGCAAAGCGGUGUUAUAUUCAUGUCGCUUCGCUACUCGAACAGGCAGCAGUGCUUGAGUAGUAACAUUUAUCUGCGCGACGAAUGGCCGCUUUUUGUCGGUUCUCUAGGCCAAGAGUCGUUAACUCCCAAAACCGAAUAUACUUGUAGGCGAAUGAUCAGUUACCGCGCGGACCGGGGUGCAAUACCCCGCAGCUCCACCA